CUUCUUCUCAGGCCUGCCUGCCUCAUCACACGGAGAAAGACGGAGAGAGCAGAGGAUGUGAGUAGCGUGACAGACGGAUGAGACGCCACGAGAGACCGAGCUACAGGAGAGGUGAAGAAGAGGGAAACAUCAGACAGACAGAUGGCUGCGGGGAAGUUGGACAGCGUCCACAUGAACCUGCUGACUGGAACAAACAUGCAGAGCAAAGGCAGAACUCCUCUUUCAUCCAGUAGGAGGAAGUAAAGGAGGAUACAGGACUCCAUUGUUAGACGCUGGUUGUGGCGGUGUUACAACAAGUACUGUUGUCAGGAAGCAGAUCUAGAUGAAAGAGUCAUUAUGCGUCAGAAUGUGCUGAUAUUCCCACUUUAUCUUUUUGGCUUUAUACCAGUUUG